rnacentral:lncRNA from 1 species
AUGAUGAACUUUCUCAAUUUUACUAAUUAUCUAACCACUCUGUAACACCAUUCUUUGAGGUUAUUGACUGCAGGGUGUACUGAAUGGAAACGCAAAGGUGGAUCACCUGCCAGUAACAUCCACGCUUAAUUUUAUCAAAAAAAAAGUUUAAAUUUUGAUCUAAAAAAGGAGGAUUUUAAAAUUUUAUUUAUGGAUUUGCUCUGAGUGGUAUCUAUGUAGUAGCUUAAAAGUGUCAAAGAACCGAAGCUGACUUCCAACCUUAAUCAACUAUAUGUUUUUGGUUUCCUUCUCUCCUCUGUUCGGCAUACAGAAAGAAAGAAAAAAAAUGAUUGAAAUGAUUUCCUGAGAUGUAGAGGGAUAGGUACACUACCGAUGACCACACUAUUCUAAUUCAGAGGAAUGAUUACACAUUGUUAGAAGCAAGGGUUAGGUACAUUACCGAUGGCCCCAUUAUUUGCCUAAACUUUGCCAAGAAAAUAGAAAAAGAAAAGAGAAAAAAGAAAAGAAAAGGAUUUAGAGAAGAGAGAUAUAUGGAGAAAAGAAACCACAAUAAGAUUACUUGUUUACUCAUAAACCUUUUGGGGUAAGAGUCUAUGUGUCCUUUGAUCGAUACUCUCAAGAUUUAGCCUACAUAUUUAUAUACAGAAAUGAGGUUAGUAGAUGGGUAUGUGAGGCGGAAUCAGC